rnacentral:rRNA from 1 species
AGAGACAGCAGUCGCCGCGGUAAUACGGAGGGAGCUAGCGUUGUUCGGAAUUACUGGGCGUAAAGCGCGCGUAGGCGGUUACUCAAGUCAGAGGUGAAAGCCCGGGGCUCAACCCCGGAACUGCCUUUGAAACUAGGUGACUAGAAUCUUGGAGAGGUCAGUGGAAUUCCGAGUGUAGAGGUGAAAUUCGUAGAUAUUCGGAAGAACACCAGUGGCGAAGGCGACUGACUGGACAAGUAUUGACGCUGAGGUGCGAAAGCGUGGGGAGCAAACAGGAUUAGAUACCCCAGUAGUCCCUGUCUCUUAUAC